rnacentral:rRNA from 1 species
GUGGGGAAUCUUCCACAAUGGACGAAAGUCUGAUGGAGCAACGCCGCGUGAGUGAAGAAGGGUUUCGGCUCGUAAAGCUCUGUUGUCGGGGACGAAUGUGCAGUAUUUGAAUAAAGUAGUGUAAUGACGGUACCUGACGAGGAAGCCACGGCUAACUACGUGCCAGCAGCCGCGGUAAUACGUAGGUGGCAAGCGUUGUCCGGCAUUAUUGGGCGUAAAGGGAGCGCAGGCGGGAAGGUAAGUCGGUCUUAAAAGUGCGGGGCUCAACCCCGUGAUGGGAUCGAAACUAUCUUUCUUGAGUGCAGGAGAGGAAAGUGGAAUUCCUAGUGUAGCGGUGAAAUGCGUAGAUAUUAGGAGGAACACCAGUGGCGAAGGCGACUUUCUGGACUGUAACUGACGCUGAGGCUCGAAAGCCAGGGGAGCGAACGGGAUUAGAAACCCGAGUAGUCC